UAUUGGCUUAGUUAGGAGGCAAAGAUUAAUGGAUCAUUAUUGGUCUUCUUAAGUCUUUUGAGAGGACUUUUGCUUCUUUGUCGAUUGUCCUCCAAGCAGUCUUAGGACAUAA